AGCACAGUCAGCUAAACAAGCUCUCGGGCCCAUACCCCGAAAAUGUUGGAUACACCCAACCUUUGCU
rnacentral:tRNA from 2 species